AGCCUAGUGGUUAAGGCUAUGGAUCGCCAAUCCGGAGACGACGGGUUCGAUUCCCGU
rfam:Aedes albopictus isolate Foshan contig15473, whole genome shotgun sequence.